UUAAGUUAUUAAGGGCGCACGGUGGAUGCCUUGGCACUAGAAGCCGAUGAAGGACGUUACUAACGACGAUAUGCUUUGGGGAGCUGUAAGUAAGCUUUGAUCCAGAGAUUUCCGAAUGGGGAAACCCAGCAUGAGUUAUGUCAUGUUAUCGAUAUGUGAAUACAUAGCAUAUCAGAAGGCACACCCGGAGAACUGAAACAUCUUAGUACCCGGAGGAAGAGAAAGAAAAUUCGAUUCCCUUAGUAGCGGCGAGCGAAACGGGAAGAGCCCAAACCAACAAGCUUGCUUGUUGGGGUUGUAGGACACUCUAUACGGAGUUACAAAGGACGACAUUAGACGAAUCAUCUGGAAAGAUGAAUCAAAGAAGGUAAUAAUCCUGUAGUCGAAAAUGUUGUCUCUCUUGAGUGGAUCCUGAGUACGACGGAGCACGUGAAAUUCCGUCGGAAUCUGGGAGGACCAUCUCCUAAGGCUAAAUACUCUCUAGUGACCGAUAGUGAACCAGUACCGUGAGGGAAAGGUGAAAAGCACCCCGGAAGGGGAGUGAAAUAGAACCUGAAACCGUGUGCUUACAAGUAGUCAGAGCCCGUUAAUGGGUGAUGGCGUGCCUUUUGUAGAAUGAACCGGCGAGUUACGAUUUGAUGCAAGGUUAAGCAGUAAAUGUGGAGCCGUAGCGAAAGCGAGUCUGAAUAGGGCGUUUAGUAUUUGGUCGUAGACCCGAAACCAGGUGAUCUACCCUUGGUCAGGUUGAAGUUCAGGUAACACUGAAUGGAGGACCGAACCGACUUACGUUGAAAAGUGAGCGGAUGAACUGAGGGUAGCGGAGAAAUUCCAAUCGAACCUGGAGAUAGCUGGUUCUCUCCGAAAUAGCUUUAGGGCUAGCCUCAAGUGAUGAUUAUUGGAGGUAGAGCACUGUUUGGACGAGGGGCCCCUCUCGGGUUACCGAAUUCAGACAAACUCCGAAUGCCAAUUAAUUUAACUUGGGAGUCAGAACAUGGGUGAUAAGGUCCGUGUUCGAAAGGGAAACAGCCCAGACCACCAGCUAAGGUCCCAAAAUAUAUGUUAAGUGGAAAAGGAUGUGGCGUUGCCCAGACAACUAGGAUGUUGGCUUAGAAGCAGCCAUCAUUUAAAGAGUGCGUAAUAGCUCACUAGUCGAGUGACACUGCGCCGAAAAUGUACCGGGGCUAAACAUAUUACCGAAGCUGUGGAUUGUCCUUUGGACAAUGGUAGGAGAGCGUUCUAAGGGCGUUGAAGCAUGAUCGUAAGGACAUGUGGAGCGCUUAGAAGUGAGAAUGCCGGUGUGAGUAGCGAAAGACGGGUGAGAAUCCCGUCCACCGAUUGACUAAGGUUUCCAGAGGAAGGCUCGUCCGCUCUGGGUUAGUCGGGUCCUAAGCUGAGGCCGACAGGCGUAGGCGAUGGAUAACAGGUUGAUAUUCCUGUACCACCUAUAAUCGUUUUAAUCGAUGGGGGGACGCAGUAGGAUAGGCGAAGCGUGCGAUUGGAUUGCACGUCUAAGCAGUAAGGCUGAGUAUUAGGCAAAUCCGGUACUCGUUAAGGCUGAGCUGUGAUGGGGAGAAGACAUUGAGUCUUCGAGUCGUUGAUUUCACACUGCCGAGAAAAGCCUCUAGAUAGAAAAUAGGUGCCCGUACCGCAAACCGACACAGGUAGUCAAGAUGAGAAUUCUAAGGUGAGCGAGCGAACUCUCGUUAAGGAACUCGGCAAAAUGACCCCGUAACUUCGGGAGAAGGGGUGCUCUUUAGGGUUAACGCCCAGAAGAGCCGCAGUGAAUAGGCCCAAGCGACUGUUUAUCAAAAACACAGGUCUCUGCUAAACCGUAAGGUGAUGUAUAGGGGCUGACGCCUGCCCGGUGCUGGAAGGUUAAGAGGAGUGGUUAGCUUCUGCGAAGCUACGAAUCGAAGCCCCAGUAAACGGCGGCCGUAACUAUAACGGUCCUAAGGUAGCGAAAUUCCUUGUCGGGUAAGUUCCGACCCGCACGAAAGGCGUAACGAUUUGGGCACUGUCUCAACGAGAGACUCGGUGAAAUCAUAGUACCUGUGAAGAUGCAGGUUACCCGCGACAGGACGGAAAGACCCCGUGGAGCUUUACUGUAGCCUGAUAUUGAAAUUCGGCACAGCUUGUACAGGAUAGGUAGGAGCCUUUGAAACGUGAGCGCUAGCUUACGUGGAGGCGCUGGUGGGAUACUACCCUAGCUGUGUUGGCUUUCUAACCCGCACCACUUAUCGUGGUGGGAGACAGUGUCAGGCGGGCAGUUUGACUGGGGCGGUCGCCUCCUAAAAGGUAACGGAGGCGCUCAAAGGUUCCCUCAGAAUGGUUGGAAAUCAUUCAUAGAGUGUAAAGGCAUAAGGGAGCUUGACUGCGAGACCUACAAGUCGAGCAGGGUCGAAAGACGGACUUAGUGAUCCGGUGGUUCCGCAUGGAAGGGCCAUCGCUCAACGGAUAAAAGCUACCCCGGGGAUAACAGGCUUAUCUCCCCCAAGAGUUCACAUCGACGGGGAGGUUUGGCACCUCGAUGUCGGCUCAUCGCAUCCUGGGGCUGUAGUCGGUCCCAAGGGUUGGGCUGUUCGCCCAUUAAAGCGGUACGCGAGCUGGGUUCAGAACGUCGUGAGACAGUUCGGUCCCUAUCCGUCGUGGGCGUAGGAAAUUUGAGAGGAGCUGUCCUUAGUACGAGAGGACCGGGAUGGACAUACCUCUGGUGUACCAGUUGUCGUGCCAACGGCA
rnacentral:rRNA from 1 species